AACGAACGCUGGCGGCAUGCCUAACACAUGCAAGUCGAACGAUACCUUCGGGUCUAGUGGCGCACGGGUGCGUAACGCGUGGGAACCUGCCCUUAGGUUCGGAAUAACUCCCCGAAAGGGGUGCUAAUACCUGAUAAUGUCUUCGGACCAAUGAUUUAUCGCCUUUGGAUGGGCCCGCGUUGGAUUAGCUAGUUGGUAGGGUAAAAGCCUACCAAGGCGACGAUCCAUAGCUGGUCUGAGAGGAUGAUCAGCCACACUGGGACUGAGACACGGCCCAGACUCCUACGGGAGGCAGCAGUGGGGAAUAUUGGACAAUGGGCGAAAGCCUGAUCCAGCAAUGCCGCGUGAGUGAUGAAGGCCUUAGGGUUGUAAAGCUCUUUUACCCGGGAUGAUAAUGACAGUACCGGGAGAAUAAGCUCCGGCUAACUCCGUG
rnacentral:rRNA from 1 species